CCUGUUCAUAGGACUUUCAGCAUCUUCAUGUGAACAGUUAACCGGUAGGCAGCUUACCUGACAUGUCUGAAUCAAGCUCCUGUUUUUGUCCUUCAAACACGUUCCUUUCUUGUAUUCCCCAGGUUUGUAAGUGGUGCACUCACCCCACUCCUUGAUCAUGUCAAGUAUCUUCCUGGGAUCCUCUGUUUCUCUCAUACUCCACAUCCAGUCUUUCAGAAAACAUGGAAUAUAUUGAGAAUCUGAUCAUUGUAGUUGAUCUUUUUUUUUGUCUUUUUAGGGCCACACCUGCGGCAUAUGGAGGUUCCCAGGCUAGGGGUCCAAUCGGAGCUGUAGCCACAGCCACAGCCAUGCUGGAUCUGAGCCGCUUCUGCGACCUACACCACAGCUCACAGCAACGCCAGAUCCUUAACCUGCUGAGCAAGGCCAGGGACCGAACCCGCAACCUCAUGGUUCCUAGUCGGAUUUGUUAACCACUGAGCCAUGGUGGGAACUCCUGUAGUUGAUCAUUGAAUCUGGUCAUCUACCUCUGCCAUGUCUAACGCGUUCCAGCCACUGUCAUCUGUAUUUACCAGGAUUGUUGCAUUCUCCUCCCAGCUGGGUUUUCUCUUUGUCCCCUUGUCUUCUGACAACUAUUUUCUGCAGCACAGCCAUAGUGACCCUUUUAAAAUACCUAAGAUGUGCUCAAAACACUUCUGUGUCUUGCUGAGAGUAAAAGCCAAAGUUUAAGGCCCUCCCCCAGUCAGGCUUCCUGCCACCUCCUUGUCCUCAUUUCCCCACACUUGCCGCCCACCCCACCCCUUGCUCUACUCCCGGCAUCCUGGCCUUGGAAACACCCAGUUUGCUCCUGUCUCUGUGUCUCUCUAUGCACUUGCCUCUCUCACCCGUCUUCAAGUCUUGGCGUAAAUGUCACUUUCUCAGUGAGGCUAUCCUUCACUACCUUAUUUAAAAUUGCAGCCUCCCCAAUACUUCUUCCCUCUCUCCCUCUUGUUUCAUUUUUUUCCAUUGCACCCUAGGACAUACAGUUUCUUUUACUUAUGUAUAUGGAUGUUGUAUAUGCCUGUUGCUUAUUGUUAAGGGAGGCUCCACGAAGGCAGGAAUCUUAUCUCUAUUGUUAAUACUUUGUCCUUAGCAGAUGGAAGAGCGCUUGGCUCAUAAUAGGUGCUCAGUAAAUACCCGUUGAAUGAAUUGAGGUUCCAAGGGAGUGGCACUAAGAAAGCAAGAGAGAGAGUUUUCAGAUGAUGGAGUGGCUAUGUUCACAUUUACAUUUCCCAUUGCUUUCAGGGUUUCCCUCCGAACUUUAAGCAGCUUGGGUCCCCUGGAGGGAGAACCAGGAGUCACUAGUACCAUAUCAUUCCUGGCCCCCCUUUGAGGGUGAAAAAGAACUGGGGACCUGCAGAGACUACUUCAGCCCCAAGAGAGGAAGAUAGCAGACGAGUAGAGAGGUUCCCUUGCAUCCUGGCAAGCCAUGGGCAGGGCCUUGAAAAGCGUUCUUUAACAUCAUAAAGCUACAACUAUUUUCUGCUGGAAUAUACCUCUCUUGAUGACCUCGUUGGUGUUGUAAAGCAGAAAAAUGACAGGGGAAUGUUUUACAGUGAAAAUCUUGCGUUCCUGAUUUCUGAAAUAUGAUUGUUGUGUCCGCAGCCAUGUCACAGUCUGCUUUGUGUCCACCCUCCCUGCCACGGGGCAAGGCAUGGUGUAGACAUUGUGUAUUUGUGAACUGAAUGAAUGGGACAGCGUGAGCUGGCAUUACGAAAAAUCAUGGUGGGAAAGAAACAAGCCUCUGCUCAUGGUUUCCAGAGGCAGAAACCGUGUCCAAGGCAAGAGUGGAGUAUCUCGCCACCUCAGACCAGGACAUAUCGUGGGGUGAUAUCAUGCCAUUGCUUUAAGUGAAGAAGUAAUUUUUGUUUUUGUUAUAUGUGGCAUUCGAAGAUGUUGUGCCAAGGGCAAGGUGUUUUUUUAAAAAAACAAAUCUGAAUAGUUUACACAUUUCCCUGUCUAUACUUUUUUUUUUCCUUUCUUGUUUUAUGGAAGGGCAGUAAAGGCGGUAGCUUUCUAUCAGCCUCCUUCUGGCCCUGGAUAAGCCCAGUUGGUCUUACCAAGUAUAUACGAACAUGCCAGUAAAAUGAAGAUUAGUCUAUUUUGCCCUAAUUUUUCUAAGUUAAUUCAUUGUACUCCAAUGGAGUGAAAAAAAAAAAGGCCUUUAAUUGAAUAAUUUAUUAUGUCAUUUGUUUUUUUUUCUUAAUAUGGAGCACAGGAAGUAGUACUAAAUCAAUUUCCUUGCUUAUUACUUGAAACCAAAGGGCUACAUAGUUAUAUGGUAAACCUAUUAGGGAAUGUUUACGUAUUUUUAGGAAAACAUCUAUAAUGUUAUUAUAUAGCAUUAUUCUUCCUUCGAAGGCUGUGAUUCAUAUGUGCAUGCACUCCUAACUAGUACAUCAUUUUUUCUUAGAUACAGUUGAUUGCAUGGUGGAUAAUCUCAAUUUCAGCAUAACCAUGAAUCAUACUUAGGUUAAGAAAACUGAUUUAAUGCAAGCAUCCCCCCCAUCCCCCCCCCCCGCCACCCACCCCAAAGCACCUCUUUAACGAGUAAUUUUCCCAGGCUCCUACUACAUGUAAUCUGUCAUUUGCUUGUGCAUCAGUGAUUAUUUAUCCUUACAAUAUCCUUACUCUAUCUUUCUAAAUUCCCGAGCUAUUUGCUUGGUUUCCCCCUCGUCCCCCAACAUUGGAAUAUCAGAAUAAUGAUCAAUUCUAUUACUUCCCUAUGUUUUUAUGUAAUGCCUGGCACAAGGCGUCUCAGGCGUUUGGUAGUCACUGGUUGAUUGAUUGAUCUAAGCCCGUACUCCUCUGUAGACUGAAGACUCUUGAAUGAAUCAGAGCCCUUGCACGCAUUCCUCAUCAGGUCAGUUAGAUUUGGGAUGGAUGCAAUAGAUGAGGAAAAAAAAAAAAAACAUGCAGUGAUCAAAACUUUACUUUUCACAAUGGGAAAACAAUUUAGGAAAAGUGAUUAUACUGCAGGAUAUUUAGAGAUGUGGACUUUUUGAGCCAGAAUUGAAUUUGAAUACUAACUCCUAACACUGACUGGCUCUGUGGACAAAUUAUUUGCCUCUCAAUUUUUUUUUUUUUUUUUUUUUUUGUAAAAGGACCAUAACAACAGUUACCCUGCAGUGUUGUAGCGGAUUUUAAGAGUAGCUAUAAAAGUACCUGUCAGUACAAUCUAGAGGAGUGUACUAAUUACAUGAUCCUAUACAAGACAAAUCCAGUUUUUGUGUUCUGGUGGGUGAUGCAGUUACCUGAGGGUUGUUUUUCAAGGUGGGUUCCAGGAUGUUUGGAGGCCUCUGUGUCUUAUGAGGAGUUGUUCACAAAUUUCUCCCGUUAAAAGAGAUAUUCGGUAACUAAAAACAGGUUAAAAAUAUUUGAAAAUGUAGUAUUCCCAUCUUGGCGCAGCAGAAAUGAAUCCUACUAGGAACCAUGAGGUUGUGGGUUCUAUCCCUGGCCUCACACAGUGGGUUAAGGAUCUGGCAUUGCUGUGGUUGUGGCCUAGGCUAGCGGCUACAGCUCCGAUUAGACCCCUAGCCUGGGAACCUCCAUAUGCCCUGGCUGUGGCCCUAAAAAGACAAAAGACAAAAAGAAAAAAUAUUUGAAAAUGUAAAUAUGGAUAUAACCUAGAGAUGUUUCUAGGCUAAUUUGUGCCAGAUUCAAGGCCCUGAAGCUUGUUAUAGAAUUAUACAUAUCUGGAUAAAAGGACUGAUUUUAAAACCAAAUGCCUCUGUGUAUUUUGUUGCUGAUUUGGGGUUUGGCCUGACAUCAAGCUCUUGAAUCACAAUUUUCUAGUUCUCUUCCUGCAAUGACUUCAUUUGAAGAAAAGCUUUGUUCAAUGCAAGACUUUCAAGAUACGCUAAACCAAGACAAAAACCCUAAACAUACCAAGUAAACUGUUAUCCUUCAGUGUAGAGAACUUGCAAAGAUGUGAUGACUUCAAUUCUGUUUCAACCCUUCAGUUAAAGGCGUGUACAGAAUACAAGUGCAAAGCAAAACAAAGCAAAAAACCCAGCAGAGCUGCUCUCUGACAAGACUGUGGCAAACCUGACCUGGAAUCUGGGGGGAUUCUUCUGCCAGCCCAGAUCCUUCUGCCACUGGAACCUUGUAUUAUUUAUAGCCACUAAAAGCUGCCUGGCUUCCCAUUCCACUGACAACUAGGUGUACCUCUCUGACCCCGCUCUGUUCACUGUCUAGCUUGGUUCUGAGUCUCCCAAGGGAACCCUGCCUGAGAGAACUUGAUUUGCUCUUCAAGUCAGCACUGGUGGCCCUUUCCACUUGGUACCCUGUCCCAUUACAGUGGGGUUGGGAUGUCAGGGUACACGUCUAAUGGAUGCUACACAUCACUGAAAUAAAUCAGGAACAAUGGUGCUAGUUGUAAGCCAUGCCUUCCCACGUAACUCCUUGUACCAUAGUGGACAGGUCAUCAAGUGGAGAAUUUUCAAAAAUCCCUCUGCAAAGUGCACGGCCCUGCCCUCAGUAAAUGAGUGUUGAAGAGCUAGGCUGUCUGGGAAGCACAUGAUGGGCGUGCAUAGGGGUCUCAGUGCAUGUUGUGGUCCAGCCCAGCUCCUGGUUGGGCUUGACACGGCCGUCAAGUCCCUCUGUUCCAUCUUCAGGCUCUGCCUGGGUCCCUGCUUUUCCUGUUCCUGGUUGCUGCUGAAUGCUUUUCCAGGAUGCUGAUGUUUACUUCUUGCCUACUCCAUCACAUAGCCUAAGUUCUGCCAACAUCCUUGAGUGCCUCCUGCCUGGUCUGUGUCUCCUCCAUCAUUGGGCUUUUUCUGUGUCCCAAGUGUAUACUUUGUCCAGGAUCUGCCUGAAUACUGAUUUUAGUUUUUCACGGAGACUUCUCAUUUCCCUGGUUCCUUCCUUCUGUCUAGGAACCCCAGACAAACUCUGAACUCUCUAUCUCUGAAAAGAGUACCUGCUGAAGUUCUCAGAGGUUUAUUUAUGCAGAAGUUCAUUGUGCCUCUGAUAUGUGGGUGCAUUGAGAAAGGGUAAAGCAGUGUGAAGUGGUCUCCACAUUUAUUCGAUCACAGGACUCUUACUGUUGGAGCAUCUUGGAGGGUAAUGCAGUUCAGAGCACACUCAGAGAAGCACUGCCACAGAGAGUAGGAGUGAUAUUUGGGGCUCGAAAGAAUGUUAAGAGCAGAUGUUAUCCCCUUAACAACAGAAGAAGAACAUCAGUGCCAUAGAUGUUUGAUUUUGAAAUUUCUUGAUGUUUUCUCUGUAGUACCAUAGUGUCACUCUAAUUAGAUUCUUUCCUCUGAAUUCCGUUGUUUGGUUACUGAGUUUGCCCUUCCUGGUUGCUCUGUUCUCUCUAAUUGAGCAAAUUGGCUUUCGUCGAGAACCUACUAUGUGUCAUAUGCUGUGCUAGAUGCUGGAAACAAAUAGGAAUAAGCUAGGCCUCCUCUUGAAAAACAAAUUGUAGUAUAAGAUGUACAUUUUAUAAAAGUGCUUCUUCAUCAAACCAGUUCUUUUGUUUUUCUUCUUUUCAGUCCUCAGACUUUUUUUUUUUUUUAAGCAGAGCUUUUCACUCCAAAUAAUAAUGGAUCCCCUUAGAGAAGGAAUUUCUCAGCAUGUUACAAAAAAUAAGAAAUAGAAUAAGUGCAUGAAAAUUUAAUAUUUCUUUACAUCAAAAACUACCAUAAACAAAAGGAAAAGGCAAGUUGUAAACUAGGAAGAACAUUUGCAACAUAAAAGACAAACAUUUAUUAUCCUUAAUAAAAUAAGCCCAUAGUAACUUUUAAUAAGUCAUGGUCAGAUGAAUAAGUGAAUCAAUGAGUAAAUGAAUUCAAAGCAAUAAGGGAGAAAAGCACUGCAGUAGAAAUAUGAAAAAGAUGUGAAGAUUUGGCAUCGCACACGUCACACCCUCACACACACACAAGCACAAAUCCAAAUAUAUGAAAAAAGCAAAGAAAUGGAAAUUAAAACAACUUUUUAAUUGAUCCUUCAUUGAUUUGAUAAAUGCAUAUGAAGCAUGUUAUCACUAUGCUGUUAAAUCCCUGUAUAGUAUAUAUUAUCCAGUUCAAACAACAGUCUAUAUAAAUGGGUAUUAUCACCUUCAUUUUACCAAUGAGCAUAGGACUUAAAGACGCUAAGUCUUGUAAUGAAGAUUUUGGAGGCAAGAUUCGAACUCAUACCUGUAUGCCUCUAAAGUCCAUCCUCAUAACUAUCAUAUCACAGUGUUCCCACGAAGGGGAGUUCAUGCUGUGGUGCAGGGGCAUCCAUGGCGUCUCUGCAGCACCAGGACU
rnacentral:lncRNA from 1 species